rnacentral:rRNA from 1 species
AGAGUUUGAUCCUGGCUCAGAAUGAACGCUGGCGGCAUGCCUAACACAUGCAAGUCGAACGAAGCCUUCGGGCUUAGUGGCGCACGGGUGCGUAACGCGUGGGAAUCUGCCCUUGGGUUCGGAAUAACAGUUAGAAAUGACUGCUAAUACCGAAUGAUGUCGUAAGACCAAAGAUUUAUCGCCCAGGGAUGAGCCCGCGUAGGAUUAGCUAGUUGGUGUGGUAAAGGCGCACCAAGGCGACGAUCCUUAGCUGGUCUGAGAGAAUGAUCAGCCACACUGGGACUGAGACACGGCCCAGACUCCUACGGAAGGCAGCAGUGGGGAAUAUUGGACAAUGGGCGAAAGCCUGAUCCAGCAAUGCCGCGUGAGUGAUGAAGGCCUUAGGGUUGUAAAGCUCUUUUACCCGGGAUGAUAAUGACAGUACCGGGAGAAUAAGCUCCGGCUAACUCCGUG